AUACACCUCACAGAUCCCCUUUAACAAAAUUACCAGACCCUAUAUUUUCUUUCAUCACCAUCACCUGUUUAAUUUGAAGAACAGUUUAUUCAUUUCGGAUACUCAAAAUCAACGAAACCUUAUUUCUGAUUUCACAGAUUGAAACUCGCUGUUAGAAAUCAUAGCUUUAUCCUAACCUCUAUCUCAAAUUCAAAAUCCCUGUUCCAGCAGAAAUCAAAAGGAAACUUUGUAACUCUAGAUCUAGUUGUUUUUCUUCUGAAAUCAUCAGGGGAAGGUGUUUCAUUUUUCUAAUUUUCCCGACAAGAGAACUCAUCAAAAUGGGUAGAAGAAUCUCUUCUCGUAGUUCUUUUAGGUUGAGGUAAUCGUCUGCAACAUUACAAAGAAGGAUUUAACUGCAUCAUAGAUUGGUACUAAUUUCAUGAUUCUCAUGGUAUUGCUCAAGUUAAUAGUGUUCUGUUAAUUGUUUUUUUCUUUGUUGCUUUUCUCCGGUUGAUUUGUCUGCGUUUGAUAUUUCUCUUGUUUUUGUAAAGGUUGGUUUAGACUUUUGAGUAAUGGGUUUUCUUAAUUUUUUAGGUAAGAUUUAUUGCAUACAGUUUUGACAUAUUUGAAAGAUGUGUGGGUUGUUUGUUGUUUGGAUCUGUUUGCAAUGAGGUUGUUUGUUGAUGAUUCUCCACAGAAGAAGGUUCGAUUUCCAACACUCUCAGGUGAGAAGAAGCUGUUGACACCACGGCCACUGCAGAGGACAGGUUUCUUCUCAGUGCUGGAAUCUAGUAUGUUAUCUCCUAGCACUACAGGUGAAGCUUGGGUUAGCCAAGCAUGGAGAGCCAAUUGGUCUUGACGAGAAGCCUAAGGUUGGUAUGAUAGUUAUUGGUUCGGUUGUCGUUGAUCCAAAGACAGGAGCAUGGCUUGGUAAAGGCAAGGUAAGGAUUUCAACUCGAUUGUUUUUACCACUUUCUCGUAUGAAAAUCGUUGGGGGGACUGGAUUACUGCUGGGAAUCAGAACUAUUAUUGUCAUGGUUGGACAUAUUAUACAACUUCAAUUGAAAUAAUGUUAUGGUGUAUGAGAGUAGUACUAUUAGAUGAAAGAAUUGAUACCUAUUGAUUAGGAUUAGUAGUUGGACCCAAGGACAUCUUUGGGUAAAGUGAGGGUAGCGAUGUUGUCACAGUAUACUUGAUACAUUAAUUGCAGUAUAAUUCAUCUUUCAUAAAAUAGCUGUAAGCAAAUUUCUCCUGCACAUGGUUUUGAUAGGGGUACAACAUUCUCAGAGCUUAUUUUUCAUUACAGUUGAAAAGUUGGUGUGAUGCAAUGUGAAUAACAUGAAGCGGAGUCCGUUGAUUAGCUGUGUAUGACUUACUCAUACUUUAGAAUGACCCUUCACGUUUCAGAACUUUAGAACUGAAAUUAAGGUUGUCAUUUUAUUAUUAUGGAUGGCGAAGCCGCUGCAAUGCGCAUUUCAGAUAUGAACUGUUUAUUUACAGAAACUUCAAAAGAGAAUCUUGAAAGCUCACUAUAUGAUUGUGUACUGUUCAAAACAUCUACUGUAUGAAUCACUUUCAGUUAUCUUCACUGCAUAAUUCCUGCAGAAUGGUUAUGUAAUCUCAAAAUUUCACUGUUGUUACUUGCUAACUGAUGAACACAUCAAUCCUCAUGAUAUAAGUAGCGACUAUAUCUUAUGCAUUCUGUAUAUACAUUUUAAUACAUAGUAAGGUUCGUUAAGUUGUUUUUCCUGUGUUUUAGGGUUUUGCGAUACAUGGGAGAAAUUGAUGACAAUACUCCAGUUGUCACUGAGUAGAACUUUAUGUAGCUGAGAAGUAUUAGUGAUACAGAAGUCAGUGAGUGAAUUUCUAGCAAGGUCGAAAAAUGGCUCAAACUAACAUUAGUCAUCUCAUGGUUCUUUCACUAUUUUUAUGUCUUGCAUUUUCUCCAGUUUACUCUUUCUAUCUUAACCCCAACUUUUAUGAGCAAUCCUGCCCAAAGGCUGAAGAAAUUGUGAGGUCUGUUGUUGUGAAAGCUGUCCAAAAAGAAACUCGAAUGGCUGCUUCAUAACUCAGGCUUCAUUUCCACGAUUGUUUUGUUCAGGUUAACAUAAUAGUUAGCGCAGUAUAUGUUUUAACUUCUGAUAGAAAGUACUAAACUAUUGUACUUUUCCUCUUUUCAUUAAUAUAUCUGACUGUCUUUUGUUUUAAUUUUUUCCUUGCUUUCCUUGAAGGGUUGUGAUGCCUCGCUUUUGUUAGACCUUCUUAUAUCUUCUCCAUGUCAAAGUAAUGCAUUCAAUUCGGUUCACCUCAUUUUGGAAACUAGUUGAAACGCUGAUAAAAUUCAUGACCUAUGAUCCUACAAUUUCAAAUCAUGUUUUUUUUUUUCAUCGGCUUCUUGACAUGAUUCUUACUCUGUCCUUUCUCCUUUUGUCUCAGUGUUAGUGUCUCGUAGUAUUGUUUUUAUUUAAUAUCUUACUCAUACUGGUUUUAUUUAAAAUGUCUAUGAAGUCUUAUGCUCAUUAGUGCCUGCCGCCGACUGGUUGAGUUAUUGCUUCACCCAUCUCCUACUGUACUCAUUCAUGCCCUCCACACGGUUGGCAGUAUCGUCACUGGAGAUGAUCGUCAGACCCAGUGUAUCAUUGAGCUUCAAGCGCUUCCCUGCCUCAUGAACCUGUGGACACAACCUUUAAAAGAGUAUCAAGAAAGAAGCUUGCACCAAAAACCAAAUUCAGUCCGUGACAGUUGCUGAUAUUAUUGAUCCUCUAAUUCAUCUGCUUCAAAACGCUGAGUUUGAUAUCAAAAAGGAAGCUGCUUGGGCAAUCUCAAAUGCAACUUCUGGGGGAUCCCAUGAGCAGAUCAAGUACUUCGUGGCUGCAUCAAACCACUGUGCGAUCUUCUAAUAUACCCUGACGCUAGGAUUGUUACUGUCUGUUUGGAAGGUCUCGAGAAUAUUCUGAAAGUUGGUGAGGUUGAGAAGACCAUUGGAAACACUGAUGGUGUGAACUUGUAUGCUCAUAUGAUUGAUGAGGCAGAGGGAUUGGAGAAGAUUGAAAACUUACAGAGUCACGACAACACUGAGAUAUAUGAGAAGGCGGUGAAAAUUCUUGAGACUUACUGGUUGGAGGAGGAAGAUGAAAUGCCUCCUCCAGGUGAUGCUGCCCAAACAGAGUUCCAUUGUGGAGGGACCCAGCCCCAACUUCCUUCUGAUGGAUUUAACUUCGGCUGAAGGUAUACUAUUCCGAUCAGUUGGGCAGCUCAGUUCAUCUUUUUGCUGGUUUUAGUUUAUUUCAUUGUGUGUAGGUUGGUUUCCACCAAUUGUAAGAACAUAAAUUUUUAAGAACUUAAAAAUGGUGUGAAUUCAGUAAUUGUGUAGAAUUUUUUGGGGUUUGACCCAAGUCUCAGCUCAAUUCACAUGUGAAUUCAGUUUGUACAACAAAUUUCAGAUUUGAAUUCAAUGGUGAAUGUUUUGAUUAGUUUAUG